UACGGAGGGUGCAAGCGUUAUCCGGAUUCACUGGGUUUAAAGGGUGCGUAGGCGGGUAAGUAAGUCCGUGGUGAAAUCUCUGAGCUUAACUCAGAAACUGCCGUGGAUACUAUUUGCCUUGAAUAUUGUGGAGGUGAGCGGAAUAUGUCAUGUAGCGGUGAAAUGCUUAGAUAUGACAUAGAACACCAAUUGCGAAGGCAGCUCACUACACAAUCAUUGACGCUGAGGCACGAAAGCGUGGGGAGUC
rnacentral:rRNA from 1 species